rfam:Diplodia corticola strain CBS 112549 scaffold17, whole genome shotgun sequence.
GGGGGUGUGGCGCAACGGUAGCGCGUCAGAUUCCAGAUACCACUGGAGAUUCCUGAAGGUUAUGCGUUCGAAUCGCAUCAUCCUCA